UACGGAGGGAACUAGCGUUGUUCGGAAUUACUGGGCGUAAAGCGCACGUAGGCGGCUAUUCAAGUCGGGGGUGAAAGCCCGGGGCUCAACCCCGGAACUGCCCUCGAAACUAGGUAGCUAGAAUCUUGGAGAGGCGAGUGGAAUUCCGAGUGUAGAGGUGAAAUUCGUAGAUAUUCGGAAGAACACUAGUGGCGAAGGCGACUCGCUGGACAAGUAUUGACGCUGAGGUGCGAAAGCGUGGGGAGCAAACAGG
rnacentral:rRNA from 1 species